rnacentral:rRNA from 1 species
GGGGGUAAAAUUAAAAAUAAAAUAAAAUAAUAAAAGAAUUUUUAAAAUAAAAAUAUUUAAUGGGGGUUAAAGUAUUUUUAUGGAAAAAAUUUUUAUUUUUAUAGUUAAUUAGUAUUGUAAAAGAAUUUUGAAAUAAUAUGAAAAUGAAUUUAUACGAAAGUAAAUUUAAUUUAUUGUAUCUUGUGUAUCAGAGUUUAUUAAAAAUUUUUUAAAUUUUUAAAUUUCUCGAAUUUAAAAGGGUUAAUUAAUUAAUAAAGUUAUUGUGGCAUAAAUAUUUUAAAUAAUUAAUUAGAAAUGAAAUGUUAAUCGUUUUUAAAUAUAUCUAGUUUUUUUAGAAAAAAAUUUAAUUUUUAAUUUAAUUAAAAAUUAAAAUAAAUAUUUAUUUUAAUUUUUAAUUAAAUUAAAUAAUUUAAGGGAUAAGCUUUAAAUUAAAAUUUUAUAAUGAUUUAAGUUUAAUUUAAAAAUUUUAUAAUUUAUAUUGUUAAUAAAUUUUAUUUUAUUAUAAAUAAUUUUAAUUUUGAAUAAAAUUUAAUUUGAUUUAAUUUUUUAUAAAAAAAUUUAAAAUAAUAAAAAAUUUAAAGAAAUUAUGAUAAAAUUAGUAAAUAAACUAAAAAAAAAAUAAAUAAAUAAUUUUAAAAUUUAUUUUUAAGGAAUUCGGCAAAAAUUUAUAUUCACUUGUUUAUCAAAAACAUGUCUUUUUGAAAAUAAUUUAAAGUCUAAUCUGCCCACUGAUGAAAUAUUAAAGGGCUGCAGUAUUUUGACUGUACAAAGGUAGCAUAAUCAUUAGUCUCUUAAUUGGUGACUUGUAUGAAAGAUUGGAUGAAAUAUAAACUGUCUUAAAAAUAAUUAAUUGAAUUUAAUUUUUUAAUUAAAAAGUUAAAAUAAAUCAAAAAGACGAGAAGACCCUAUAGAGUUUUAUAUUAAAUGAAAUUUAGUUUAUAUAUAAAUUUAUUAAAUUAUAAAUUUUAUUUAAUAUUUUGUUGGGGUGAUAAAAAAAUAAAAAAAACUUUUUUUAAAAUUAUCCAUAAAUAAGUGAUUAUUUGAUCCAUUUUUAUUGAUUAUAAGAAAAAAUUACCUUAGGGAUAACAGCGUAAUUUUUUUUUUUAGUUCUUAUAAGAAAAAAAGUUUGCGACCUCGAUGUUGGAUUAAGAUAAAAUUUAAAUGCAAAAGUUUAAAAUUUUUGAUCUGUUCGAUCAUUAAAAUCUUACAUGAUCUGAGUUCAAACCGGUGUAAGCCAGGUUGGUUUCUAUCUUUUGUUAAAUUUAAUAUUUUAGUACGAAAGGAAUAAAUAUUAUAAUUAAAUUAAUUUUAAUGAAUAUCAUUAAUUAAAAAUUAAAUUUAUUUAAUUUAUAGGUUAAUAAUAUAA